AUGAACGCUGGCGGCGUGCCUCAUACAUGCAAGUCGAGCGAACAGACGAGGAGCUUGCUCCUCUGACGUUAGCGGCGGACGGGUGAGUAACACGUGGAUAACCUACCUAUAAGACUGGGAUAACUUCGGGAAACCGGAGCUAAUACCGGAUAAUAUAUUGAACCGCAUGGUUCAAUAGUGAAAGACGGUUUUGCUGUCACUUAUAGAUGGAUCCGCGCCGCAUUAGCUAGUUGGUAAGGUAACGGCUUACCAAGGCAACGAUGCGUAGCCGACCUGAGAGGGUGAUCGGCCACACUUGAACUGAGACACGGUCCAGACUCCUACGGGAGGCAGCAGUAGGGAAUCUUCCGCAAUGGGCGAAAGCCUGACGGAGCAACGCCGCGUGAGUGAUGAAGGUCUUCGGAUCGUAAAACUCUGUUAUUAGGGAAGAACAAAUGUGUAAGUAACUAUGCACGUCUUGACGGUACCUAAUCAGAAAGCCACGGCUAACUACGUG
rnacentral:rRNA from 1 species